UACCAUUCGGCAUUACAAGGUAUGUAUUUGCUUCUGAUUGUUUGAAUUGAACUGAUUUUAAGUUUUAACAAAUAAGGGUUCUUGCUAGUUGGGAAAUUAGGGUUUCGUGAUUUGGGGGAAAGGGAAUAUUCGUUGUUAAGGCUUUAAUUAGGGUAAUUAAGCAACAAUUUGAGUGUGUGUAUGUAUUGUAAGGUAUGAUUUUUUGAUAAACUAAGGUUGAUUAAAUCCGAUAAUUGCUACGUCAGUUUUUUUUUUGGUGUGGUUAAUUGUUUCGAUAAUAAUUAAAAAAAUUAAAAUUUUAAUCCUAAGAUCCACUAGUUAAGAACCCACCAAUGAUCUUGCAUAAAAACAUAUAAACUUAAUUCAACUUCUUAACAUCACUUUACUCAAUUAAAUUACUAAAUAUAUUAUAAGAUUCAUUUUUAAGGAUUGCCCAUUGAUGAUGCUCUCAGACUUCUCGUCCCCCUGCACCGCUCAUUGUGGAUAUUAAAAAUUCCAUAAGGACCAAAUUAGACCCUCUCUCAAGAGCCCAUAUCUAUACUCCUCCUACUGUUUCGUUGUUGUCUACUUGGUUUCAGGUUUUUCAGCCUUAAUCUUGUUUGUGGUUAGGUGAGUAGGUAAGCUCUUGUCCUUUUUCUCGUUUCGCAGCUACUUCUACUCUGUAAUCAGUGUUUGUUUAAUGGAAAGUUAAUUAAAAUAUAUAUAUACUUAGAGAAAUACCUUUAAAUACCAUAAAAUAUACUUUUCUUUUUUUCACUAAUAGCACUAAUUAUUCAAUAGAAAUACUAUUUUUUCCAUAUGUUAUAAACUUAAAAUGAAUAUAGGUUUUGCAAUCUCGUCAUCGACUUCUCUUCGAUCUCCUCUAUCGUCAUCUAUCGUCUGAUGAAGCUUAUGCGAUCUAGGUACGGCGUCAUUUGUCUUCAUCUUCUUCUUCUUCUUCGACGUCGUCAGUUUCAUAUUUCUCCUUGAGAAGUGAAUCGAUUUUGCUCAAUCGACUAUGUUCAGCUAAUUGUGUUCCAACGUUGCCGAUCUCUGCGUAGCUCAACGUCGUUGAUUUCAUAAUUAUUCUUACAAUUUCAGAUUCUGCUUAAGCGUUGCUUUGAUGAAGAAUGAACCAACUUUGAUAAAGUUAAUCGAUUAUGAUCAAUUGUAAAGAUAUAUUGCUUUGGAUUUUCAAGGUGAUUUCAAGUUUGAUUAGUGUGUACCAGUCCUAGAUAUUUGAUUUGGGUUACAUUUGUGUAUCUUAAGCUGUGAUUGUUUGAAAUUCCAUGAAUAUUGUUAGGUCCUACUCCUUUUGUGAGAUUGAAAACAAAAUGAUAAAGGAGGCUGAGAUUUUGCAAUUGACUCGAAAAGACGAGGAUCACUUAGUGAAGUAGAUGAGAAUGUAACGUAGAUGAGAAUGUAACGUCUAUAAGGUUUUAGC
rnacentral:lncRNA from 1 species